CUACGGGAGGCACCAGCAGCGGAUCAUUUACAAUGCACGAAAGUGUGAUAAUGCGAACCAGAGUGCCUAUCAAUUUGAUAUGCUUUUCUUCAGUGUAAAAAUCUGGGGGAAUAAGGACUGGGAAAGACUGGUGCCAGCCGCCGCGGUAAUACCAGCAGUUCAAGUCGCAUCCAUUUUUAUUGGGUCUAAAACAUCCGUAGCUUGUUUGUUAAGUCUCUUGUGAAAUCCAAUGUCUCAAGCAUUGGGCUGGCAGGAGAUACUGGCAAACUCGAGAUCGGUAGACGUAAGGAGUACGCUGGAGGUAAUGGUAAAAUGUGUUAAUCUUCGGUGGACUAACGAUGAGCGAAGGCACCUUACGAGGACGAAUCUGACAGUGAGGGAUGAAGGCCAGGGGCGCAAAACGGAUUAGAUACCCCUGUAGUC
rnacentral:rRNA from 1 species